UAACCCAAUUUAUAUGAGGAGCAUGCCAAGACACAUUACACACCUCUUUGGAAAGGUAAAUAAUAAAUGUUCCAAAAUUCAUUACUUGCCAGAAUGUAAUAUCUAUGUGUGAAUGAAUAUCUUAUGGUUAUUCUAAACAUUUUCAACUAUACAUUUUAAAUUCUUUCAAAUUGAUGGAUUGGUUGUGUAUAUUAAAUAAUGAUAGCUAUUUUUGUUUAAAGGCGCAUUUAUCUCUUUAUUUCUGUCACAUCAUUAGCAAAGCAAAGGGGGUUUUAAGCUUUUGUCGUCUUAAAAUCUCAAUAUAAUGUAUAUUGAUAUUUCAGAAAAUAUUGAUAUUUUUUUUUGACAUCGAACGACUGAUCUAUUAUUCAAGCUUGAGAUGGUUUGGGGAACCAGACCGGAAGACCGGAAUAGAACAACCAAUGUAAUUUAUGUUCUUAUGAAAUGAUCUUGCUAUGUUAGCUAAUGAAUCAAAAGAUAAAUUUUCAGUGCGAGGAAUAAAAACAAUUGAGAAUUCUGGGAAUAUGCUAUUCAGCUUCUGCAGCUCAUCUAAUUCAAUGGAGAAGUUGGGCCAUGCUCCUGGGUCUUGAAUCAUUGAGACGAGAUCUUUACAAUCGGUGCCAAAAGCCGGACACGUCAAUAGUUGAAGCAUGCAUUCCAUCGCUCAUAAAAGGGCCUCAAGAUCCGAAUGAAGUGGUAAGAUUCUUCGUCGUUGGUUUCUUGCUCCCAAUAACUGAGCCGUUCCUUCUGAGGUUUUCCAUGUUCAUCCAUAACCACUAAAGAAUGCAUCGUGUGUCCAUGAACUAUCUAUUAGACAUCUCUCUGAAUUUGUUAUCUGCUCUG
rnacentral:lncRNA from 1 species